rnacentral:rRNA from 1 species
GAUGAACGCUGACAGAAUGCUUAACACAUGCAAGUCGAGGGGGAAGUGGUGCUUGCACCAUGGCAACCAUGGCGGACGGGUGAGUAACGCGUAAGGGACUUACCUGCAGGACUGGGGUAACAGGGGGAAACUCCUGACAAGACCGGAUAAUGUCAUGGAGCUGCAUGGCUUUAUGAUGAAAGGAGACGCCUGCGGAGAGCCUUGCGUACUAUUAGCUAGGUGGUGGGGUAAUGGCUCACCAAGGCGAAGAUAGGUAGCCGGCCUGAGAGGGUGGACGGCCAAAAGGGGACUGGGAGACGGCGCUGACUCCUACGGGAGGCAGAAGUGGGGAAUAUUGGACAAUGGGGGGAAAGCUGAUCCAGCAAUUCUGUGUGAACGAAGAAGGUUUUCGGAUUGUAAAGUGCUUUCAGCAGGGAAGAAGUAAGUGACGGUACCUGCAGAAGAAGCGACGGCUAAAUACGUG